UACGGAGGGGGCUAGCGUUGUUCGGAAUUACUGGGCGUAAAGCGCACGUAGGCGGCUUUGUAAGUUAGAGGUGAAAGCCCAGGCUUAACCCUGGAGUUGCCUUUAAGACUGCAUCGCUAGAAUCGUGGAGAGGUGAGUGGAAUUCCGAGUGUAGAGGUGAAAUGCGUAGAUAUCGGGGAGGAACACCAGGUGGCGAAAGGCG
rnacentral:rRNA from 1 species